UGUCAUAGCGAUACGUUCUUA
ensembl:piRNA 21ur-361 ncRNA